CAGGAUGAACGCUAGCUACAGGCUUAACACAUGCAAGUCGAGGGGCAGCAUUUCAGUUUGCUUGCAAACUGGAGAUGGCGACCGGCGCACGGGUGAGUAACACGUAUCCAACCUGCCGAUAACUCGGGGAUAGCCUUUCGAAAGAAAGAUUAAUACCCGAUGGUAUAAUCAGACCGCAUGGUCUUGUUAUUAAAGAAUUUCGGUUAUCGAUGGGGAUGCGUUCCAUUAGGCAGUUGGUGAGGUAACGGCUCACCAAACCUUCGAUGGAUAGGGGUUCUGAGAGGAAGGUCCCCCACAUUGGAACUGAGACACGGUCCAAACUCCUACGGGAGGCAGCAGUGAGGAAUAUUGGUCAAUGGGCGCAGGCCUGAACCAGCCAAGUAGCGUGAAGGAUGACUGCCCUAUGGGUUGUAAACUUCUUUUAUAUGGGAAUAAAGUUUUCCACGUGUGGAAUUUUGUAUGUACCAUAUGAAUAAGGAUCGGCUAACUCCGUGCCAGCAGCCGCGGUAAUACGGAGGAUCCGAGCGUUAUCCGGAUUUAUUGGGUUUAAAGGGAGCGUAGGUGGACAGUUAAGUCAGUUGUGAAAGUUUGCGGCUCAACCGUAAAAUUGCAGUUGAUACUGGCUGUCUUGAGUACAGUAGAGGUGGGCGGAAUUCGUGGUGUAGCGGUGAAAUGCUUAGAUAUCACGAAGAACUCCGAUUGCGAAGGCAGCUCACUGGACUGCAACUGACACUGAUGCUCGAAAGUGUGGGUAUCAAACAGGAUUAGAUACCCUGGUAGUCCACACAGUAAACGAUGAAUACUCGCUGUUUGCGAUAUACAGUAAGCGGCCAAGCGAAAGCAUUAAGUAUUCCACCUGGGGAGUACGCCGGCAACGGUGAAACUCAAAGGAAUUGACGGGGGCCCGCACAAGCGGAGGAACAUGUGGUUUAAUUCGAUGAUACGCGAGGAACCUUACCCGGGCUUAAAUUGCAUUUGAAUAAUCUGGAAACAGGUUAGCUGCAAGGCAAAUGUGAAGGUGCUGCAUGGUUGUCGUCAGCUCGUGCCGUGAGGUGUCGGCUUAAGUGCCAUAACGAGCGCAACCCUUAUCUUUAGUUACUAACAGGUCAUGCUGAGGACUCUAGAGAGACUGCCGUCGUAAGAUGUGAGGAAGGUGGGGAUGACGUCAAAUCAGCACGGCCCUUACGUCCGGGGCUACACACGUGUUACAAUGGGGGGUACAGAAGGCAGCUACCUGGUGACAGGAUGCUAAUCCCAAAAGCCUCUCUCAGUUCGGAUCGAAGUCUGCAACCCGACUUCGUGAAGCUGGAUUCGCUAGUAAUCGCGCAUCAGCCAUGGCGCGGUGAAUACGUUCCCGGGCCUUGUACACACCGCCCGUCAAGCCAUGAAAGCCGGGGGUACCUGAAGUACGUAACCGCAAGGAGCGUCCUAGGGUAAAACUG
rnacentral:rRNA from 1 species